rnacentral:rRNA from 1 species
GAUGAACGCUGACAGAAUGCUUAACACAUGCAAGUCUACUUGAACUUCGGUUUGGGUGGCGGACGGGUGAGUAACGCGUAAAGAACUUGCCUCACAGAUAGGGACAACAUUUGGAAACGAAUGCUAAUACCUGAUAUUAUGAUUUUAGGGCAUCCUAGAAUUAUGAAAGCUAUAUGCACUGUGAGAGAGCUUUGCGUCCCAUUAGCUAGUUGGAGAGGUAACGGCUCACCAAGGCGAUGAUGGGUAGCCGGCCUGAGAGGGUGAUCGGCCACAAGGGGACUGAGACACGGCCCUUACUCCUACGGGAGGCAGCAGUGGGGAAUAUUGGACAAUGGACCAAGAGUCUGAUCCAGCAAUUCUGUGUACACGAUGAAGUUUUUCGGAAUGUAAAGUGCUUUCAGUUGGGAAGAAAAAAAUGACGGUACCAACAGAAGAAGUGACGGCUAAAUACGUG